AAGGGCCUGUUUGGUUGGGCUGAAAGGAAUGAGUUUAGGAUGGAAUGGAAAGGUCCAUUCAGCCCAUAAUUUUUUUUUGGCUGUUUGGUUACUCCAACAGAAUGGAAUGGACCAUUCUUAGCCUCAUUCCUUUCCGUUUGACCCACUUAAGUUUUAUUCCAGCUCAAAACACCGGGACAAGCCCAUUCCUUUCUCAGUCCAAAAAUUAAAAAACCUCCCGUUGCUCUCUCGUCGCCUCUGCUCGUUCAUUUCGGAUUAUCAAUUCUCGAGCUUGAAUCUAUUGAACAAACAGUAUGGCACGUCUUCCACUAACUAGAAGAAAGACUAUUCAAAGGAAGAGACUUAUUUUAUAUUUGGAGCAGCUAAAAAUGAUCGGGUCGGUUCAUUGGUUUUUUCAAAUGAUUGUGUUGUUAGGAUUAAGGGUGGCAUUAAGGCCUAGGUAUUCCAUUUUUAAGAUGGAAAGAAUUAAUUAUGUUGAUAGGUUAGUUAAUCAAAGUGAUGACAUUUGUGUUAAGAAUCUUAGAAUGAACAUGGGAGCAUUUCAUAAAUUAUGCUAUACACUUGAAUCACGAGGAUACAUACGUGAUAGUAAGCAUAUGAAUGUUGUUGAACAAGUUGCCGUUUUUCUAUAUAUAUUAGCGCACCAUAAGAAAAUGAGUGUUAUAAGCACCUCUUUUCAAAGGUCGACUGAAUCGAUUAGUCGACACUUUCAUAUGGUUCUUCUCGGGGUCUUGAGGUUACAAGAAUUUCAGCAUCCUGAACCGAUUCCAAAUGACUCAACCGACGGAAAUUGGAAGUACUUUAAGAAUUGCCUAGGGGCUCUAGAUGGGACACAUAUAAGAAUGAAUGUAGCUGCUGAAGACAAGGCUAGGUAUCGAAACAGGAAGGGUGAAAUUACUACUAAUGUCCUUGCCGCGGUUACACCAGAUUUACAGUUCUCUUAUGUAUUGACUGGUUGGGAAGGGUCCGCGGCUGAUGGGAGAGUUUUAAAAGAUGCUUUGUCAAGAAAAAAUGGACUCAAAGUCCCAAAGGGUACUUACUAUUUAGUAGACGCGGGUUAUACUAAUGGAGAAGGAUUCUUGGCACCUUAUAGAGGACAAAAGUACCACUUGAAUGAUUGGAACGAUGAACAUCAACCUACUUGUGCUAAAGAGUAUUUCAACAUGAAACACUCGACGGCUAGAAAUGUAGUUGAGCGUUCUUUUGGCGUCUUAAAGAAGAGAUGGGCAAUCUUGAGAAGUCCUUCAUUUUACCCUCCGAAAAUUCAAAGUCGAAUAAUUCUUGCUUGUUGUGUUUUACAUAAUUAUAUUAGAAAUGAAAUGACUUAUGAUCCAUGUGAAAUCGACUUUGAAAGAGAAGGGAGGACAAAUAUGGAGCAUGAGGGGAUAGAAGACAAUAUCACAAGCAUUGGCACAACUCCCGAAUGGACAUCAUUUAGGGAUCAUUUAGCUGAAACAAUAUAUAGUGAAUGGAGGGGUUCUUCGAGGCAUUAAUUUUUGGUUAUAAUAAGAAAUGGAGCCAACUGAAUCAGUUGUAGAAAGAGGUGCAGGAAGGAAUAAAAGGAAAUGGACAGAUUUUGAAGAUGAAAAAUUAGUUGAAUCGCUGAUUGAGCUUGUGAAUUCUGGAAAUUUUAAAGCUGACAAUGGGUUUAAACCUGGAUAUUUGACCUUUCUUGAGACUUCAUUGCAAACAAAACUUCCCGAAGCAGGUUUGAAGGGAAAGCCUCACAUAGAAUCCCGGAUUAAGACACUAAAAAAGGAUUUUACUGCAGUUUAUGAUCUCCGAUAUGGUGCUAACAGUUCAGGAUUUGGAUGGAACUCAGAAAACCAUGUUGUUACAGCUCCAAGGGACGUGUGGCUUCAAUAUCUUAAGGUUCACCCAGGAGCAUCUAAAUGGCAGACUACAGCUAUGCCAUGGUUCACAGAACUCUGUACUAUUUUUGGAAAAGAUAGAGCAACCGGAAAUCUAGCAGAAAAUCUUGCUGAUGUUGUGGAAGAACUUAAUACUGAGGCUGCAGAUGAACUAUCAGUCCAGGAAGCUCAACCAGUCACACAUUCUGACGAGUCAACAAGCAUGAAGAAAAGAAAAAGAGGAAAUGCAGAUGCAUUGUUAGAGGCUGUCUAUGCUGCUUCAGACAGGCUCGCAAAUCAGUUUGAGGCUUCCACUAAACUCCUCAUCGCAGCUGAAGAAGAUAUGCGGGAGAAAAAGAAACAACUCAAUCAAGAACUUUCAAAGAUUCCAGAACUCGAAGUGCUCCAGAAACUUCAAGUUGCAAAGAGAAUAGCCAAUGAUGAAGACUUGAUGAUACUAUUUUUUGAAGCACCAGCAGCGGAAAAAAUUGUUUUGGUGAAUGCUAUUCUAAACAAGGAGAUUUGAGACCAUAUUUUGUUUAUGUCCUUCCUGCACUUUUUAUUAACAUUUGACACAUUUCACCAACUGUAUUUGGUAACUAUUUGGUAACUCCAUGUAUGUGGUAACUCUAUAAAGCCAGUGUUUAAUGCUUUGAUAACAGUAGAAACUUGUUAUCUUUCAACUAAAUAUUUUGGAUU